UCUGAACUGAUCGGCUUAAGGCCGUUGUAAAAUUUGGCUAUAUGCUGGAAACUCCGAGUAUCCGGCGCUACCGGCUGGUUUAAUCUGAACCAGAAGGUGACAAUGCGUCCGGUGCGGACAAUCAGCAGGAAAGACCUUGGAGAAGAAGCCCCGGUCCGUCCAAGGAUCGAAGUGGACCUCCUCGGAAUCCUCAGAGACUAUACGCCAAACCCCUGACGGAACCAGCGGGAAGAUAUAGUCCGAUCUAUGUGGCGACAUAUAGAGGCCGGCAGAAAUGACCGGCCCCGUCAGUAACUACCUGAGCGCUUCGGCGCUUGAGUGACCUCUGAUGAGUAACAACAUGCCUAAGGUAGCGAAGUCCCUUGUCGGGUAAGUUCCGACCCGCAUGAAUGGUUGAACGACUUGGCCAUUGUCUCGACGGAGGGCUCGGUGAAAUUGCGGUGCCCGUGAAGACGCGGGCGACCCGCGGCAGGACAAGAAGACCCCGUGGAGCUUUACUGUAGCCUGGUAUUGGGCUGGGAGCUGUCAUGUGUAGGAUAGGUGGGAGGCUAUGAAACCCCGACGCUAGUUGGGGUGGAGCCGCCGUUGAAAUACCACCCUUGGCUGUUUUUGGUUCUAACCUCAGCAAAACUGGGGGACAGUGCCUGGUGGGCAGUUUAACUGGGGCGGUUGCCUCCUAAAAUGUAACGGAGGCGCCCAAAGGUCCCCUCAGGACGGAUGGAAAUCGUCCUAAGAACGCAUUGGCAUAAGGGGGCUUGACUGUAAGACCUACAAGUCGAGCAGGGACGAAAGUCGGGCAAAGUGAUCCUACGGCACCGUGUGGAAGGGCCGUGGCUUAUCGGAUAAAAGCUACCCCGGGGAUAACAGGCUUAUCUCGCCCAAGAGUUCACAUCGACGGCGAGGUUUGGCACCUCGAUGUCGGCUCGUCCCAUCCUGGGGCUGAAGGCGGUCCCAAGGGUCCGGCUGUUCGCCGGUUAAAGGGGUACGUGAGUUGGGUUCAGAACGUCGUGAGACAGUUCGGUCUCUAUCCGCCGUGGGCGCAGGAGGCUUGAGGGAACCUCUUCCUAGUACGAGAGGACCGGAAGGGAUAGACCUAUGGUGUGCCAGUUGUUCCGCCAGGAGCAGCGCUGGGUAGCCAUGUCUAGUAUUGAUAAGCGCUGAAGGCAUCUAAGCGCGAAGCUGCCCCCAAGAUGAGGCCUCCCUUCCCUAUUAAGUUAGGGAGUAAGACUGCAGAGAGACUAUCUGCUUGAUAGGCCGGAUGUGUAAGGAUAGUAAUAUCUUCAGCAUACCGGUACUAACCGGUCGAGAGGCUUGACCU
rnacentral:rRNA from 1 species